rnacentral:rRNA from 1 species
GAUGAACGCUGGCGGCGUGCCUAAUACAUGCAAGUCGAGCGAACGGACGAGAAGCUUGCUUCUCUGAUGUUAGCGGCGGACGGGUGAGUAACACGUGGAUAACCUACCUAUAAGACUGGGAUAACUUCGGGAAACCGGAGCUAAUACCGGAUAAUAUUUUGAACCGCAUGGUUCAAAAGUGAAAGACGGUCUUGCUGUUACUUAUAGAUGGAUCCGCGCUGCAUUAGCUAGUUGGUAAGGUAACGGCUUACCAAGGCAACGAUGCAUAGCCGACCUGAGAGGGUGAUCGGCCACACUGGAACUGAGACACGGUCCAGACUCCUACGGGAGGCAGCAGUAGGGAAUCUUCCGCAAUGGGCGAAAGCCUGACGGAGCAACGCCGCGUGAGUGAUGAAGGUCUUCGGAUCGUAAAACUCUGUUAUUAGGGAAGAACAGAUGUGUAAGUAACUGUGCACAUCUUGACGGUACCUAAUCAGAAAGCCACGGCUAACUACGUG